ACUUGAAAAUCUCAUUUACU
rnacentral:snRNA from 1 species